rfam:Sus scrofa isolate TJ Tabasco breed Duroc chromosome 16, whole genome shotgun sequence.
UCCCUGGUGGUCUAGUGGUUAGGACCCUGAGCUUUCACUGCUGUGGCCUGGGUUCAAUCCCUGGUCUGGGAA